UCUAAUUCGAUCAAUAAUUCUUGGCCACAGGGCUACUCUACUGUGCAGUGUGCACAUCCAUGUUUUUCUCAUUGUAGACCAAUAAUUGAACUCCAAUUCCUCUUACUCAUCUCCUUUUGGUUUUCUUACAACUUUCUCAUUGUUCUCCAUGGAAGAAGGGCUACUAACUCUGUCAGGGUCAAAUGGAGCUUCAAGUGAUUGCAGUGCCGUCAUAACUCCAGGAGGGUUCUCCUCCUCGGCCACCCCCGUUGUCGUUCUGAGCGCAUUGGUGGCUCUUUGUGGUUCCUUUGGCUAUGGCUGUCAGGCUGUGCUGCAAGUUACUCUCAAAGUAGGAUAUUCAUCCUCUGCUGAGUCAGGAAUUUUGGAAGACUUGGGCCUUACUAUUGCAGCAUCCCAAUGCAGUAUCUAGUUAUGCAAGUUCGAUAUUUGUAGAUGCGGGUUUUUCAACUAGUGUUGGGACUAUAUCAAUUGCUCUUAUUGGGAUUCCUGGUGUUGUCUUGAGUGUGCUCUUAACAGACAAAGUUGGAAGACGACCACUUCUAAUGGUGAGAGGGGAGAACUUUAUCCCAACUAUAUGGUGUUGAAUAUCAUCAAGUUCCUACUGAGGUGACUGAAUGUUUGCAGGCAUUCAGUAAGGUUUGAUAAUAACAUACCAUUGGAUAGUAACAUACAGCUUUAUAAGUUUGCAUUCAGUAAUGAGAGGCUAGGCAUUCAGUAAUGUUUGCAGGCAUAAGUUGGUCCUCUGCUUGGAUAGUAACAUACAGCUUCAAUUUCAUGAUGGAAUGGAGCUCAGCAAGCACAUUUUUCUUCUUCUCAGCCAUUAGCGGGUUAACAGUUCUGUUCGUAGCAAUGCUAGUGCCAGAAACUAAAGGGCGAACUCUAGAAGAAAUGCAAGCAUCAAUUGCCCAUUUUCUCUAAAAAGAUGACCUC